GAUUUCCUUAGUAACGGCGAGCGAAAAGGAAACUGUCCAGCGCCAAGUCUUGACACAUUUGUGCUCAAGAGAUGCGGCGUUAAUGGAUUGGCGCAUCGUACAUUGUUUCAUGUUUCAAUUUGCUUUGAAAAGUAAUUUCCAUAGCGGGUGCAAGACCCAUAGAAACGAGAAACUAGUGUAUGCCGGCCAAUUCAUUUUAGAGUCAGGUUGCUUGAGAGUGCAGCUUAAAGACGGUGGUAAACUCCAUCUAAGACUAAAUAAUACAGCGAGACCGAUAGCAAACAAGUACCGUGAGGGAAAGUUGCAAAGCACUUUGAAGAGAGAGUCAAAUAGUACGUGAAACCACUGGAAGGCAAACAGAUAGAACCACGAAGUAUGCGUCUCGGUCGAUUCAAUUGUUGUUGUUGAAUUGAGAUGUUUGUUGUUGGGUCUUUUCGGAGACUAGACAAAUGUUUUAUAUUUAAUAACAAUGAUGCAUUUCGAAUCGAGAAUGCAAAGCCACGUUCGACUAGARAGUUGAAACGACUGUAAGACAGGAUUUAAGAAAGGUGGCUGUCAAAUGCUUGCAUUUGAUAGUGUUAUAGUCUUAAAUCGGAAUCGUUUCUAACAAACUGGUCGAUAAAAAUUCUCUACGGAGUAUUAAUCGUAUUUGCCUAUGAUUGUCAAUCGGUAUUUUGUGAUUAAUUUAGCGUGUUUUCGAAUGCGAUAAAUUGUUGCAACAUUGCCGGUUAACAGUUGUUUGCACGAUACGAUAGAACUGUGGUGCGAGUAGGUCGGUUUCUAUCUGACCCGUCUUGAAACACGGACCAAGGAGCCUAUCAUAUACGCGAGUCGCUCGGUCUUGAAUAGGCCUGGAAGGCGCAAUGAAAGUAAAGCUACGAGACUUCGGUCGCAGUAGUGGCUCGCCUACUUCGUUUUUUUGGCGAUCAGGCGAAGCUGGAGCGUAUACGAUGGUACCCGAAAGAUGGUGAACUAUGCCUGGGCAAGACGAAGCCAGAGGAAACUCUGGUGGAAGUCUGUAGCGAUUCUGACGUGCAAAUCGAUCGUCAGACCUGGGUAUAGGGGCGAAAGACUAAUCGAACCAUCUAGUAGCUGGUUUCCUUCGAAGUUUCCCUCAGGAUAGCAGGCAUUUAUUUAAAUCAGUCUCAUCCGGUAAAGCUAAUGAUUAGAGGUCUUGGGGUUGAAACGACCUCAACCUAUUCUCAAACUUUGAAUGGGUGAGAUGGUUGACUUUCUUGAUUGAAGCCAACCAAUUGGAUGUGAGUGCCUAGUGGGCCAUUUUUGGUAAGCAGAACUGGCGCUGUGGGAUGAACCAAACGUCGAGAUAAGGCAUCAAAUGCAUACGCUCAUCAGACCCCAUAAAAGGUGUUGGUUGCUAUAGACAGCAGGACGGUGGCCAUGGAAGUCGGAAUCC
rnacentral:rRNA from 1 species